CUUCUUCCUCCCCUCCCUGGUUCAUUGACUCGCUGUUAAGCCUGAUUUCCCACCACUCCUUCCAGCCCCAAAGACCUGGAGCGCCUGCCAACUAGGACUGCUGGCCAGCCCCCAAAUGCUUCCCAUAUUUUACCUCUCCGUGCCUAUGGUCGUGCCAUUCCCUCAGCCUCAAUGCCCUCUUGCCCCACUUCUACUGGCUGAAAUUCUAGCUCCUUGUCAAGACUCAGCUUACAUGUUGGGAAGUAGUAAAAGUUGUAAAAGCCCCCAAGACCCACGAAUGUGUCCCCCUCUCCUUACUCAGAGCCCUCUAGCACUUGGCUCCCACCUCUCCUGGGAAACAUCACAUUCUCUUCUGCUGUGUGCCAUUGAGAA
rnacentral:lncRNA from 10 species